AGAUUGAACGCUGGCGGCAGGCCUAACACAUGCAAGUCGAGCGGUAGAGAGGUGCUUGCACCUCUUGAGAGCGGCGGACGGGUGAGUAAUGCCUAGGAAUCUGCCUAGUGGUGGGGGAUAACGUUCGGAAACGGACGCUAAUACCGCAUACGUCCUACGGGAGAAGGCGGGGGACCUUCGGGCCUCGCGCCAUUAGAUGAGCCUAGGUCGGAUUAGCUAGUUGGUGAGGUAAUGGCUCACCAAGGCGACGAUCCGUAACUGGUCUGAGAGGAUGAUCAGUCACACUGGAACUGAGACACGGUCCAGACUCCUACGGGAGGCAGCAGUGGGGAAUAUUGGACAAUGGGCGAAAGCCUGAUCCAGCCAUGCCGCGUGUGUGAAGAAGGUCCUCGGAUUGUAAAGCACUUUAAGUUGGGAGAAGGUUGUAACUUAAUACGUUGCAACUUUGACGUUACCGACAGAAUAAGCACCGGCUAACUUCGCGCCAGCAGCC
rnacentral:rRNA from 1 species